rnacentral:rRNA from 1 species
AAUGAACGCUGGCGGCGUGCUUAACACAUGCAAGUCGUACGAGAAAUCUUUGGGCUUGCUCGAAGAGAGUAAAGUGGCGCACGGGUGAGUAACGCGUGGGUAAUCUACCUUUGAAUUUGGGAUAACACUUCGAAAGGGGUGCUAAUACCGAAUAAUAUCUUUUUCAUUGCGGUGGAGAAGAUCAAAGAUGGCCUCUUCUUGAAAGCUAUUGUUUGAAGAUGAGCCCGCGUACCAUUAGCUUGUUGGUGGGGUAAAGGCCUACCAAGGCGACGAUGGUUAGCUGGGUCUGAGAGGAUGAUCAGCCACACUGGAACUGGAACACGGUCCAGACUCCUACGGGAGGCAG